CACACGACCGUACCGCAAACCGACACUGGUGCGCGAGAUGAGUAUUCUCAGGCGCUUGAGAGAACUCGGGAGAAGGAACUCGGCAAAUUGACACCGUAACUUCGGAAGAAGGUGUGCCUUUAGUAGGUGAACCUGUACAAGGGGAGCCCAAUGAGGUUGCAAAAAAUCGGUGGCUGCGACUGUUUAAUAAAAACACAGCACUCUGCAAACACGAAAGUGGACGUAUAGGGUGUGACGCCUGCCCGGUGCUGGAAGAUUAAGUGAUGGGGUGCAAGCUCUUGAUCGAAGUCCCAGUAAACGGCGGCCGUAACAAUAACGGUCCUAAGGUAGCGAAAUUCCUUGUCGGGUAAGUUCCGACCUGCACGAAUGGCGUAACGAUGGCCACACUGUCUCCUCCCGAGACUCAGCGAAGUUGAAAUGUUUGUGAUGAUGCAAUCUCCCCGCGGAAAGACGGAAAGACCCCAUGAACCUUUACUGUAGCUUUGUAUUGGACUUUGAACGGAUCUGUGUAGGAUAGGUGGGAGGCUUUGAAGCAGGGUCGCUAGAUCUUGUGGAGCCAACGUUGAAAUACCACCCUGGUGCGUUUGAGGUUCUAACCUAGGCCCGUUAUCCGGGCCGGGGACAGUGCAUGGUAGGCAGUUUGACUGGGGCGGUCUCCUCCCAAAGCGUAACGGAGGAGUUCGAAGGUACGCUAGUUACGGUCGGACAUCGUGACGAUAGUGCAAUGGCAUAAGCGUGCUUAACUGCGAGACUGACAAGUCGAGCAGAUGCGAAAGCAGGACAUAGUGAUCCGGUGGUUCUGUAUGGAAGGGCCAUCGCUCAACGGAUAAAAGGUACUCUGGGGAUAACAGGCUGAUACCGCCCAAGAGUUCAUAUCGACGGCGGUGUUUGGCACCUCGAUGUCGGCUCAUCUCAUCCUGGGGCUGUAGCCGGUCCCAAGGGUAUGGCUGUUCGCCAUUUAAAGAGGUACGUGAGCUGGGUUUAAAACGUCGUGAGACAGUUUGGUCCCUAUCUUCCGUGGGCGCUGCAGAUUUGAGGAAGCCUGCUCCUAGUACGAGAGGACCGGAGUGGACGCACCUCUGGUGUACCUGUUGUCACGCCAGUGGCAUUGCAGGGUAGCUAAGUGCGGAAGAGAUAACCGCUGAAAGCAUCUAAGCGGGAAACUCGUUUCAAGAUGAGAUCUGCCGGGGCCUUGAGCCCCCUGAAGAGUCGUUCUAGACCAGGACGUUGAUAGGUCAGGUGUGGAAGCGCAGUAAUGCGUUAAGCUAACUGAUACUAAUUGCUCGUGCGGCUUGACCCC
rnacentral:rRNA from 1 species